AUUGAACGCUGGCGGCAGGCCUAACACAUGCAAGUCGAAUGGUAACAGGAAACAGCUUGCUGUUUCGCUGACGAGUGGCGGACGGGUGAGUAAUGUCUGGGAAACUGCCUGAUGGAGGGGGAUAACUACUGGAAACGGUAGCUAAUACCGCAUAACGUCGCAAGACCAAAGAGGGGGACCUUCGGGCCUCUUGCCAUCAGAUGUGCCCAGAUGGGAUUAGCUAGUAGGUGGGGUAACGGCUCACCUAGGCGACGAUCCCUAGCUGGUCUGAGAGGAUGACCAGCCACAUUGGAACUGAGACACGGCCCAGACUCCUACGGGAGGCAGCAGUGGGGAAUAUUGCACAAUGGGCGCAAGCCUGAUGCAGCCAUGCCGCGUGUAUGAAGAAGGCCUUCGGGUUGUAAAGUACUUUCAGCGGGGGGGAAGGGAGUAAAGUUAAUACCGUUGCUCAUUGACGUUACCCGCAGAAGAAGCACCGGCUAACUCCGUG
rnacentral:rRNA from 1 species